rnacentral:rRNA from 1 species
UACGGAGGGUGCGAGCGUUGUCCGGAAUCACUGGGCGUAAAGGGCGCGUAGGCGGCGCGGAUAGUCGGCGGUGAAAGCCCGGAGCUCAACUCCGGGUCGGCCGUCGAUACUUCCGGGCUUGAGCACUGUAGAGGCAGAUGGAAUUUCGGGUGUAGCGGUGGAAUGCGUAGAGAUGCGGAGGAACACCGAUGGCGAAGGCAGCCCCCUGGGCUAACACUGACGCUCAGGCACGAAAGCGUGGGGAGCAAACAGG